GACUGGGAUAACUCCGGGAAACCGGGGCUAAUACCGGAUAACUUCUUCCUCCGCAUGGGGGRAUAUUGAAAGAUGGCUUCGGCUAUCACUUACAGAUGGACCCGCGGCGCAUUAGCUAGUUGGUGAGGUAACGGCUCACCAAGGCAACGAUGCGUAGCCGACCUGAGAGGGUGAUCGGCCACACUGGGACUGAGACACGGCCCAGACUCCUACGGGAGGCAGCAGUAGGGAAUCUUCCGCAAUGGACGAAAGUCUGACGGAGCAACGCCGCGUGAGUGAUGAAGGUUUUCGGAUCGUAAAACUCUGUUGUUAGGGAAGAACAAGUACCGUUCGAAUAGGGCGGUACCUUGACGGUACCUAACCAGAAAGCCACGGCUAACUACGUGCCAGCAGCCGCGGUAAUACGUAGGUGGCAAGCGUUGUCCGGAAUUAUUGGGCGUAAAGCGCGCGCAGGCGGUUUCUUAAGUCUGAUGUGAAAGCCCACGGCUCAACCGUGGAGGGUCAUUGGAAACUGGGAGACUUGAGUGCAGAAGAGGAGAGUGGAAUUCCACGUGUAGCGGUGAAAUGCGUAGAUAUGUGGAGGAACACCAGUGGCGAAGGCGACUCUCUGGUCUGUAACUGACGCUGAGGCGCGAAAGCGUGGGGAGCGAACAGGAUUAGAUACCCUGGUAGUCCACGCCGUAAACGAUGAGUGCUAAGUGUUAGAGGGUUUCCGCCCUUUAGUGCUGCAGCUAACGCAUUAAGCACUCCGCCUGGGGAGUACGGCCGCAAGGCUGAAACUCAAAGGAAUUGACGGGGGCCCGCACAAGCGGUGGAGCAUGUGGUUUAAUUCGAAGCAACGCGAAGAACCUUACCAGGUCUUGACAUCCUCUGACAACCCUAGAGAUAGGGCUUUCCCCUUCGGGGGACAGAGUGACAGGUGGUGCAUGGUUGUCGUCAGCUCGUGUCGUGAGAUGUUGGGUUAAGUCCCGCAACGAGCGCAACCCUUGACCUUAGUUGCCAGCAUUCAGUUGGGCACUCUAGGGUGACUGCCGGUGACAAACCGGAGGAAGGUGGGGAUGACGUCAAAUCAUCAUGCCCCUUAUGACCUGGGCUACACACGUGCUACAAUGGAUGGUACAAAGGGCUGCAAGACCGCGAGGUUUAGCCAAUCCCAUAAAACCAUUCUCAGUUCGGAUUGUAGGCUGC
rnacentral:rRNA from 1 species